rnacentral:rRNA from 1 species
GUUUAACGCUGGCGGCAUGCCUAACACAUGCAAGUCGAGCGAGAUCUUCGGGUCUAGUGGCGCACGGGUGCGUAACGCGUGGGAAUCUGCCCUUUGGUUCGGAAUAACAGUUGGAAACGACUGCUAAUACCGGAUGAUGACGAAAGUCCAAAGAUUUAUCGCCAGAGGAUGAGCCCGCGUAGGAUUAGCUAGUUGGUGUGGUAAAGGCGCACCAAGGCGACGAUCCUUAGCUGGUCUGAGAGGAUGAUCAGCCACACUGGGACUGAGACACGGCCCAGACUCCUACGGGAGGCAGCAGUGGGGAAUAUUGGACAAUGGGCGAAAGCCUGAUCCAGCAAUGCCGCGUGAGUGAUGAAGGCCUUAGGGUUGUAAAGCUCUUUUACCCGGGAUGAUAAUGACAGUACCGGGAGAAUAAGCUCCGGCUAACUCCGUGCCAGCAGCCGCCGUAA